rnacentral:rRNA from 1 species
UAAACCCCUUUCAGCAGGGACGAAAUUGACGGUACCUGCAGAAGAAGCCCCGGCUAACUACGUGCCAGCAGCCGCGGUAACACGUAGGGGGCAAGCGUUGUCCGGAUUUAUUGGGCGUAAAGAGCUCGUAGGUGGCUCAGUAAGUCGGGUGUCAAAUCCUCAGGCUCAACCUGGGGCUCCACCCGAUACUGCUGUGGCUAGAGUCCGGUAGGGGAGCGUGGAAUUCCUGGUGUAGCGGUGAAAUGCGCAGAUAUCAGGAGGAACACCAGCGGCGAAGGCGGCGCUCUGGGCCGGAACUGACACUGAGGAGCGAAAGCGUGGGUAGCAAACAGGAUUAGAUACCCUGGUAGUCCACGCCGUAAACGUUGGGCACUAGGUGUGGGGUCUAUUCAACGGACUCCGUGCCGUCGCUAACGCAUUAAGUGCCCCGCCUGGGGAGUACGGCCGCAAGGCUAAAACUCAAAGGAAUUGACGGGGGCCCGCACAAGCAGCGGAGCAUGUUGCUUAAUUCGAGGCAACGCGAAGAACCUUACCUGGGCUUGACAUGUAGAGAAAAGCCACAGAGAUGUGGUGUCCUUCGGGGCUCUACACAGGUGGUGCAUGGUUGUCGUCAGCUCGUG